UUGGGGCAAUGAUGUUUUGAACUACCUAUUUUCUGAGAGAUACACUCUCUUAUGACGACUAAACACCAAUGGAUCCUUCUGAGCCUCA